rnacentral:rRNA from 1 species
AUUGAACGCUGGCGGAAUGCUUUACACAUGCAAGUCGAACGGAGCACGGACUUCGGUCUGGUGGCGAGUGGCGAACGGGUGAGUAAUGUAUCGGAACGUGCCCAGUCGUGGGGGAUAACGUAGUGAAAAUUACGCUAAUACUGCAUACGAUAUAUGGAUGAAAGCGGGGGAUCGCAAGACCUCGCGCGAUCGGAGCGGCCGAUAUCAGAUUAGGUUGUUGGUGGGGUAAAGGCCCACCAAGCCAACGAUCUGUAGCUGGUCUGAGAGGACGACCAGCCACACUGGAACUGAGACACGGUCCAGACUCCAACGGGAGUCAGCAGUGGGGAAUUUUGGACAAUGGGCGAAAGCCUGAUCCAGCCAUUCCGCGUGCAGGAUGAAGGCCCUCGGGUUGUAAACUGCUUUUGUACAGAACGAAAAGGUUUCUACUAAUUCUAGGAGCUCAUGACGGUACUGUAAGAAUAAGCACCGGCUAACUACGCGCCAGCCGCCGCCGUAA